GACGAACGCUGGCGGCGUGCUUAACACAUGCAAGUCGAACGGUAAGGCCCUUCGGGGUACACGAGUGGCGAACGGGUGAGUAACACGUGGGUGAUCUGCCCUGCACUUCGGGAUAAGCCUGGGAAACUGGGUCUAAUACCGGAUAGGACCCUGGGAUGCAUGUCCUGGGGUGGAAAGCUUUUGCGGUGUGGGAUGGGCCCGCGGCCUAUCAGCUUGUGGGUGGGGUGAUGGCCUACCAAGGCGACGACGGGUAGCCGGCCUGAGAGGGUGACCGGCCACACUGGGACUGAGAUACGUCCCAGACUCCUACGGGAGGCAGCAGUGGGGAAUAUUGCACAAUGGGCGCAAGCCCGAUGCAGCGACGCCGCGUGAGGGAUGACGGCCUUCGGGUUGUAAACCUCUUUCAGCACCGACGAAGCGCAAGUGACGGUAGGUGCAGAAGAAGGACCGGCCAACUACGUGCCAGCAGCCGCCGUAA
rnacentral:rRNA from 1 species